GAUGAACGCUGGCGGCGUGCCUAAUACAUGCAAGUCGAGCGAACAGACGAGGAGCUUGCUCCUCUGACGUUAGCGGCGGACGGGUGAGUAACACGUGGAUAACCUACCUAUAAGACUGGGAUAACUUCGGGAAACCGGAGCUAAUACCGGAUAAUAUAUUGAACCGCAUGGUUCAAUAGUGAAAGACGGUUUUGCUGUCACUUAUAGAUGGAUCCGCGCCGCAUUAGCUAGUUGGUAAGGUAACGGCUUACCAAGGCAACGAUGCGUAGCCGACCUGAGAGGGUGGUCGGCCACCCUGGAACUGAGACACGGUCCAGACUCCUACGGGAGGCAGCAGUAGGGAAUCUUCCGCAAUGGGCGAAAGCUUGACGGAGCAACGCCGCGUGAGUGAUGAAGGUCUUCGGAUCGUAAAACUCUGUUAUUAGGGAAGAACAAAUGUGUAAGUAACUAUGCACGUCUUGACGGUACCUAAUCAGAAAGCCACGGCUAACUACGUG
rnacentral:rRNA from 1 species